rnacentral:rRNA from 1 species
GACGAACGCUGGCGGCGUGCCUAAUACAUGCAAGUUGAGCGAUGAAGCUUGGUGCUUGCACCAAUUUGAAGAGCAGCGAACGGGUGAGUAACGCGUGGGGAAUCUGCCUUUGAGCGGGGGACAACAUUUGGAAACGAAUGCUAAUACCGCAUAACAACUUUAAACAUAAGUUUUAAGUUUGAAAGAUGCAAUUGCAUCACUCAAAGAUGAUCCCGCGUUGUAUUAGCUAGUUGGUGAGGUAAAGGCUCACCAAGGCGAUGAUACAUAGCCGACCUGAGAGGGUGAUCGGCCACACUGGGACUGAGACACGGCCCAAACUCCUACGGGAGGCAGCAGUAGGGAAUCUUCGGCAAUGGACGAAAGUCUGACCGAGAAACGCCGCGGGAGUGAAGAGGGUUGUCGGAUCGGAAAACUCGGUUGGUAGAGAAGAACGUUGGUGAGAGUGGAAAGCUCAUCAAGUGACGGUAACUACCCAGAAAGGGACGGCUAACUACGUG